AACGAACGCUGGCGGCAUGCCUAACACAUGCAAGUCGAACGAGACCUUCGGGUCUAGUUGCGCACGGGUGCGUAACGCGUGGGAACCUGCCCUUAGGUUCGGAAUAACUCCCCGACAGGGGUGCUAAUACCGGAUAAUUUCUUCUGACCAAAGAUUUAUCGACUUUGGAUGGGCCCGCGUUGGAUUAGCUAGUUGGUAGGGUAAAAGCCUACCAAGGCGACGAUCCAUAGCUGGUCUGAGAGGAUGAUCAGCCACACUGGGACUGAGACACGGCCCAGACUCCUACGGGAGGGAGCAGUGGGGAAUAUUGGAAAACGGGCGAAAGGCUGAUCCAGCAAUGCCGGGUGAGUGAUGAAGGCCUUAGGGUUGUAAAGCUCUUUUACCCGGGAUGAUAAUGACAGUACCGGGAGAAUAAGCACCGGCUAACUCCGUG
rnacentral:rRNA from 1 species